rnacentral:lncRNA from 1 species
AAGAAUACAAAAGUCAUUUGGAUUUGUAAACUGAUAUGCAAGACUGCAAAGUUCUUUCUCUCUUGUAGUGAUUACUGCAGGUGCUGUGCUUUGAAAUCCCAAGGGCACCCAUUCACCUCUCCUGCCUGAGGACCACUUCAGUGGAGAAGCCCUACUAUAAGCCAUCUUAAACCAGACCUACAUCUUAAACCAGACCUACAAUUAGUCACCCCAGGUAGCUGUCUCAUCGCAUCAGUUCUCUGUAGAUUCUCACUGCAUGGAGUGAAGAAGAAAUCACUGGAUCAGGUAAUGAAUACAGCUGCAGAAUAUAGAUAUACAGGCCCAACUGGUGGAUGGUACCUGGUUAUCUGAGAUCUCAAAGAAGAGCAACAAGGUCAACCAUAAAACCCUAAUUUAUGAUGCAAAUUACCAUCACUUCAAAAGAGUCUGUCCUUUCAGACCCAUUGUGUCAAUCCAUUUCACAAAUUCCUCAGGAACCAGGCAGAAAAAGACUCUCUCUUCUCAGGGUAAUGGGAAGGGCUGUAUUGGUGAUCACAGUGUGCCUGGCUCAAGCUGGAGGGGGAAGUGGGGC